CCUACGGGAGGCAGCAGUGAGGAAUAUUGGUCAAUGGCCGGAAGGCUGAACCAGCCAAGCCGCGUGAAGGACGAAGGUGCCAAGCAUUUUAAACUUCUUUUGUCAAGGGACAAAAUCAGGCUCGAGAGCCUGACCGAGGGUACUUGAAGAAAAAGCAUCGGCUAACUCCGUGCCAGCGACCGCGGUAAUACGGAGGAGGCGAGGGUUAUCCGGAUUGAUUGGGUUAAAAGGGUGCGUAGGGGGACUGUUAAGUCAGCGGUAAAAGCCCGGGGCUCAACCCCGGCGAGCCGUUGAAACUGGCUGUCUUGAGAUGUCGAGGGGUAUGCGGAAUGCGCAGUGUAGCGGUGAAAUGCUUAGAGAUGGCGAAGAACUCCGAUUGCGAAGGCAGCAUACCGGCGGCGAUCUGACGCUGAGGCACGAAAGCGUGGGUAUCGAACAGGAUUAGAUACCCGAGUAGUC
rnacentral:rRNA from 1 species